UUGUAUAUCAAUAAGCGGAGGAAAAGAAACCAACCGGGAUUGCCUUAGUAACGGCGAGUGAAGCGGCAAAAGCUCAAAUUUGAAAUCUGGUACCUUCGGUGCCCGAGUUGUAAUUUGGAGAGGGCAACUUUGGGGCCGUUCCUUGUCUAUGUUCCUUGGAACAGGACGUCAUAGAGGGUGAGAAUCCCGUGUGGCGAGGAGUGCGGUUCUUUGUAAAGUGCCUUCGAAGAGUCGAGUUGUUUGGGAAUGCAGCUCUAAGUGGGUGGUAAAUUCCAUCUAAAGCUAAAUAUUGGCGAGAGACCGAUAGCGAACAAGUACAGUGAUGGAAAGAUGAAAAGAACUUUGAAAAGAGAGUGAAAAAGUACGUGAAAUUGUUGAAAGGGAAGGGCAUUUGAUCAGACAUGGUGUUUUGUGCCCUCUGCUCCUUGUGGGUAGGGGAAUCUCGCAUUUCACUGGGCCAGCAUCAGUUUUGGUGGCAGGAUAAAUCCAUAGGAAUGUAGCUUGCCUCGGUAAGUAUUAUAGCCUGUGGGAAUACUGCCAGCUGGGACUGAGGACUGCGACGU
rnacentral:rRNA from 1 species